rnacentral:rRNA from 1 species
UUGGAGGGCAAGUCUGGUGCCAGCAGCCGCGGUAAUUCCAGCUCCAAUAGCGUAUAUUAAAGUUGUUGCAGUUAAAAAGCUCGUAGUUGAACCUCGGGGUCUACCCAUUGGUCAGGCUUAAUUGUCUGCACUGGUGAGAUGGAUCUCUACCUUCUGAGGAACUUUCAUGCCAUUCAUUUGGUGUGAUGGGAAAUCAGGACUGUUACUUUGAAAAAAUUAGAGUGUUUAAAGCAGACUAUCGUCUGAAUACAUUAGCAUGGAAUAAUGAAAUAGGACGGACUGAUUCUAUUUCGUUGGUUUCUAGGAUCACCGUAAUGAUUAAUAGGGAUAGUUGGGGGCAUUAGUAUUCAAUUGUCAGAGGUGAAAUUCUUGGAUUUAUUGAAGACUAACUACUGCGAAAGCAUUUGCCAAGGAUGUUUUCAUUAAUCAAGAACGAAAGUUAGGGGAUCGAAGACGAUCAGAUACCGUCGUAGUCAUAACCAUAAACUAUGCCGACUAGGGAUCGGACGAUGUUAAAUUUUAUUGACUCGUUCGGCGCCUUACGGGAAAC